AUGGCGAACCUCGAGUCGUUAGCCUCACUCGCCGCCAUCGUCGUCCUCAUCCUCCUUGAAGCCGCUGUCCUGUCCUCGUUCGCGGCCGCGCAGCUGCGGCCGGACUACUACGCCAGCGUCAGCCCCAACCUGGAGGGCAUUGUCCGGUACUCCGUGAAGCAGUCCAUGGCCAAGUCCCCCAUCUCCGCGCCCGCCACCCUCAGGCUCUUCUUCCACGACUGCGCCGUCAUGGGCUGUGACAAAUCGGUCAUGACCAUCAGCCCGACCGGCAACGACGAGUGGCGGAACCAGGACGACUAUUCGCUGAAGCCUGAGGGCUUCCAGACGAUCCUGGACGCCAAGGCCGCUGUGGACAGCGACCCACGGUGCCGUUAUAAGGUGUCCUGCGCCGACAUAAUCGCCCUUGCCACAAGAGAGUCCGUCUCCCAGCUGAGGCCGGACUACUACGCCGGCGUCUGCCCCAACCUGGAGGGCUUUGUCCGGAGCUCCGUGAAGCAGUCCAUGGUGAAGUCCCCCAUCUCCGCCCCCGCCACCCUCAGGCUCUUCUUCCACGACUGCGCCACCACGGGCUGUGACGCGUCGGUCAUGAUCAUCGGUUCGACCGGAGACGACGAGAACCCCGACAGAUAUUCGCUGAAGCUGGAGGGCUUCCAGACAAUCCUCGACGCCAAGGCCGCCGUGGACAGCGACCCGCAGUGCCGUUACAAGGUGUCCUGCGCCGACAUAAUCGCCCUCGCCACAAGAGAGUCCGUCUCCCAGAGCGGAGGGCCGAACUACACGGUGGAGCUGGGCAGGUACGACGGGAGAAAGUCGACGGACAGAAGUGUCAGGCUGCCGCACCCCAGCGACAACCUGGACAGCCUCAACGCCUUCUUCUCAACCUUGGGCCUCUCCCAGACCGACAUGAUCGCACUAUCAGGUGGCCACACCUUGGGCGCGGCAGACUGCGACUUCUUCAAGUACAGGACUGGUGGCAACGACCAGAGCAUGAACCCGAGCUUCGACGCGCAGCUCCAAGGCACAUGUGCCAAACAGAACUUCGCGUUCCUGGAUGACGUGACACCGAUAGGGUUCGACAACUUGUACUACCGGAACCUGCAAAACGGCAGGGGGCUCCUGGGAUCCGACCAGGUGCUGUACACGGAUGAGAGGUCCCGUGGCACCGUGGACUUCUACGCGGCCAACCAGGGCACCUUCUUCUCCGACUUCGCCAUUGCCAUGACGAAGCUCGGCAGGGUCGGGGUCAAGACGGCCGCUGAUGGCGAGAUACGCCGUGACUGCCGGUACCCAAACUAA
rnacentral:rRNA from 1 species